rnacentral:rRNA from 1 species
CCUACGGGAGGCAGCAGUGAGGAAUAUUGGUCAAUGGACGCAAGUCUGAACCAGCCAUGCCGCGUGCAGGAAGACGGCUCUAUGAGUUGUAAACUGCUUUUGUACGAGGGUAAACGCAGAUACGCGUAUCUGUCUGAAAGUAUCGUACGAAUAAGGAUCGGCUAACUCCGUGCCAGCAGCCGCGGUAAUACGGAGGAUUCAAGCGUUAUCCGGAUUAAUUGGGUUUUAAGGGUUCGUAGGCGGUCGGUUAAGUUAACGGGGAAAUCCCGAGGCUCAACUUCGGAAUUGCCUCUGAUACUGUUCGGCUAGAGAGUAGUUGCGGUAGGCGGAAUGUAUGGUGUAGCGGUGAAAUGCUUAGAGAUCAUACAGAACACCGAUUGCGAAGGCAGCUUACCAAGCUACUUCUGACGUUGAGGCACGAAAGCGUGGGGAGCAAACAGGAUUAGAUACCCGUGUAGUC